rnacentral:rRNA from 1 species
AUGGUGAUCAGCUUCAGUUGCUCGGCAAGUAGAAGACCGACACGGAGCUUGGCCUUGCUGUUCAUCCUGGUCGUGAUGAAGACUCCAGUCCAUGGGCAGUCUACUUCGGAGUUCGUAAGCAUCGAUUGUGGAAACAAUAGCACCUACUACGACACCAUAACAGAAAUACAGUACGAUUCUGACAGUGGAUUUGCCGAGGGCGGUUUGAGUCACAAAAUUUCAGCGGAGUUCAUGGCUGGUGCAGGGAAUGAGCAACAAAAAACCCUGAGAAGCUUCCCUGACGGUCCACGAAAUUGCUACACGCUGCCAUCCACCAUUGGAAAAAAGUUUCUGUUGAGGGCUAUGUUUACUUACGGCAACUACGACGGGUUGAACAGGACUAUGGACGGAUCUCCGUUUUUAUUUGGGCUCCAUAUCGGUGUCAAUUUCUGGGAGGCGGUGAACUUGACAAGUGUGGAUCCAACACUCACGAUAUGGAAGGAGGUGAUCACCGUUGCUCCGGCCAACUUGGUGUUCGUCUGUCUGAUAAACUUUGGUACAGGGAUUCCGUUUGUGUCUGCUCUGGAGUUGAGGCCACUUGAAGAUCUGAUGUACCCUUUUGUGAAUACUUCAGUGUCAGUCAGCUACUUUAGACGAAUCAGAUUUGGUCAAGCCACUGAAAUUAUCACAAGAUAUCCAACGGACAGUUACGACCGGUUCUGGGAGAGUUGGCCCCAAAACUCCUACCCCUGGAUCAGCGUAAACACCAGCGGUCGAGUGAGGAGGCUACCUGGCAACCAUGCCUUCCAGGUACCAGAGGGCAUCCUCCAGCAGGCCACAACCCUAGACACGAACUACUCCUACUUCGAGAUCAAAAUGGGAGUGGGUCCCAACCUGGACCCUAAGAACCUGCAGCUUCUCCCGAUCUUCCACUUUGCCGAGAUCAACCUCAGCAACCAGAACAGGAGGUUCAACAUCUACAGCGACAAUGACUUGCUGUUCCGAGACUUUGCACCUUCGCGACUCAGAGUGGACAGCAUGUACGGGAACGGGCGGUUCUUGCACAAUCCUACAGCGACCUUCCUCCUGAACAAGACACGCAGGUCAAGGCUCCCUCCGCUCAUCAACGCGUUUGAGUUGUACACUCUCGUCCGGAUGGAUAACCUCACCACUGACUCCAACGACGUGCACUACAUGAAAGAAGUCAAGAAGCGCUACAAUUUAGCAAGAAAAAACUGGAAUGGUGAUCCAUGCUCCCCAAGAGAGUAUUCCUGGGAAGAUUUGACUUGCGACUACCCUAAAAGCAACCAGAAUCCGAGAAUUGUUGCAAUAGAUCUGUCUGCCAAUGGACUAAAAGGUGGUCUAGCUAUAUCAUUCAUGAACAUUUCAUCGCUAGAAAACUUGGAUUUAUCACACAACAAUUUGACGGGGGCUAUUCCAGACUACCAAAUAAAUUCACUUAAAGUUCUAAAUUUGUCAAAUAACCAGCUCGAUGGACCAAUCCCUGAUUCUAUUCUUCAAAGAUUUCAGGACGGCCUGCUUGAAUUAAGAUUACAAGGCAAUCCCAUAUGCUCAAAAGUCAAUGAUACAUACUGUUCAAAUAAGAAGAACACCACACCUACUGUGCUCAUUGCUGUCAUAGUUCCUGUCGUACUGGUAUCCCUCCUUGUAGUGAUGUGCAUACUCUGGAAGUUAUGCUGGAAAGGGAAGUCGGGAGACCAUGAGGAUUAUGCUAUGUAUGAAGACGAAACUCCCCUACAUAUUGAUAUUAGACGGUUCACGUACGCAGAGCUGAAGCUCAUUACAAGCAACUUCCAAUCAAUCAUUGGAAAAGGAGGUUUCGGUAUCGUUUAUCAUGGCACACUUGAAUAUGGUGAUGAGGUAGCUGUGAAGGUGCUUAUGGAGACAUCAAUAGCAGAUUCCACAGACUUCCUCCCUGAGGUGCAAACCCUGUCCAAAGUUCAUCACAAGAACCUCGUGACUUUGCAAGGAUAUUGCCAGAACAAGAAGUGUCUAGCACUCGUUUAUGAUUUCAUGCCCAGAGGAAAUCUUCAACAGCUUUUAAGAGGAGGAGAUAACAGUCUGAAUUGGGAACAACGACUUCAUAUUGCACUUGAUGCUGCACAAGGACUUGAGUAUUUACAUGAGUUAUGCAUCCCAGCAAUAGUGCACAGAGAUGUGAAGACCCCAAACAUCCUUCUAGACAAGAAUCUGGUGGGGGUAAUAUCUGAUUUUGGGCUUUCGCGGGCUUUUAGCGAUGCUCACACACACAUAUCUACUGUUGCUGCUGGGACUCUUGGCUACCUCGACCCUGAGUACCAUGCAACUUUCCAACUCACUGUCAAGACAGACGUUUACAGCUUCGGCAUUGUGCUCUUGGAGAUCAUCACCGGCCAACCCCCAGUCUUUAUGGACCCUCAAACUGUCCACCUACCAAAUUGGGUGCGGCAAAAGAUAGCUAGCGGCAGCAUUGACAAUGUCGUAGACAAGAGGCUGCUAGAUGGGUACGAUGUCAGUUCCCUGCAGAGUGUGGUAGACCUUGCCAUGAACUGCGUUGAAAACGCAGCCAUCGAAAGGCCAACCAUGACUGAGGUUGUUUCAAGGCUGAAAAUGUGCUUGCCGGCGGUUCCAAGGUUGCUCCAGUUAACGAUUUCCGGAGUUCCAACAAUAAGCAACGAGGGGAACUUCCACUCUGAUCAUGCCGGCAGGAUGUCAGAGACAAGCCUCUUAUCUGGACGGUGA